AGGGUUUGAUCCUGGCUCAGAACGUACGCUGGCGGCACGCCUAACACAUGCAAGUCGAACGAAGUAGCAAUACUUAGUGGCAGACGGGUGAGUAACAUGUAGGUAUCUACCCUUUGGCCUGGAAUAACACGAGGAAACUUGUGCUAAUACCGGAUAAGUCUUUACAGAGAAAGCUUUAUGCACCAUUGGAUGAGCCUGCACUUGAUUAGUUUGUUGGUGGGGUAAUGGCCUACCAAGACUGUGAUCAAUAGCUGAUUUGAGAGGAUGAUCAGCCACAUUGGGACUGAGACACGGCCCAAACUCCUACGGGAGGCAGCAGUGGGGAAUCUUGCACAAUGGAGGAAACUCUGAUGCAGCGAUGCCGCGUGAGUGAAGAAGGCCCUUGGGUUGUAAAGCUCUUUCGUCGGGGAAGAAAAUGACUGUACCCGAAUAAGAAGGUCCGGCUAACUUCGUGCCAGCCGCCGCGGUAA
rnacentral:rRNA from 1 species